rnacentral:rRNA from 1 species
GACGAACGCUGGCGGCGUGCUUAACACAUGCAAGUCGAACGGAAAGGCCCUGCUUUUGUGGGGUGCUCGAGUGGCGAACGGGUGAGUAACACGUGAGUAACCUGCCCUUGACUUUGGGAUAACUUCAGGAAACUGGGGCUAAUACCGGAUAGGAGCUCCUGCUGCAUGGUGGGGGUUGGAAAGUUUCGGCGGUUGGGGAUGGACUCGCGGCUUAUCAGCUUGUUGGUGGGGUAGUGGCUUACCAAGGCUUUGACGGGUAGCCGGCCUGAGAGGGUGACCGGCCACAUUGGGACUGAGAUACGGCCCAGACUCCUACGGGAGGCAGCAGUGGGGAAUAUUGCACAAUGGGCGGAAGCCUUAUGCAGCAACGCCGCGUGCGGGAUGAUGGCCUUCGGGUUGUAAACCGCUUUCGCCUGUGACGAAGCGUGAGUGACGGUAAUGGGUAAAGAAGCACCGGCUAACUACGUG